GCAGCAGGCCGCCUUAUCGCCUCGAAUUAGUUUCGGGGAGGAAAGUCCGGACACCAUAGGGAAGCAUAGCGGCUAACGGCCGUCGUCCGCCGUAGGCGGAUAGGACAAGUGCAGCAGAAAGUAUGUACAGGUAAUGCUGUAGUGAAACCAGGUAAACUCUAUGCGGUGAAAUGCCACGUAAACCUGUGCUUGAGGGUUCCCGCCCGAUGCAGGAGGGUAGGCAGAUUGAGCGUUUCGGCAACGGAACGUCUAGAUAAAUGAUAAGGAUUCAUCUUUUUGAUGGAUACAGAACCCGGCUUAUAGGCCUGCUUUUUUU
rnacentral:RNase_P_RNA from 1 species